rnacentral:rRNA from 1 species
CUCUAUGGCUAUCCCACCCUGAACGCACCAGAUCUCAUCUGAUCUCAAAAGCUAAGCAGGUUUGGGUGUGGUGAGUACUUGGAAGGAGGACCAGAGUGCUGAGAUUAUAGGCA